rnacentral:rRNA from 1 species
UUGAUGAACUCUUCUACUGGAUAACCGUAGUAAUUCUAGGGCUAAUACAUAAUUGGAAAAGUGUGUUUAUUAGUAUGAAAACCAUUAUUAGUGAGUAAUAAUAACCAAUCAUAUCGUAUGCUUUAAUAACGAUAUAUCUUUCAAGUUUCUGCCCUAUCAGCUUUCGAUGGUAGUGUAUUGGACUACCAUGGCAGUAACGGGUAACGAAUUAUAUCUUGUAUAUCCUUAAAGGGACACUAUACGUUUAGUGUAGGGAAGCUGGAGGCAAUAACAGGUCUGUGAUGCCCUUAGAUGUUCUGGGCUGCACGCGCGCGACACUGAUAUAUUCAACAAGUAGCUGUAUCGAUAGAUUUAGCAAAUCUUUUGAAAAUAUAUCGUGAUGGGGAUUGAUGCUUGAAAUUUUUCAUCAUGAACGAGGAAUUCCUAGUAAACGCAAGUCAUCAACUUGCAUUGAUUACGUCCCUGCCCUUUGUACACACCGCCCGUCGCACCUACCGAUUGAAUGGUCCGAUGAAC